CGGUGAAUACGUUCCCGGACCUUGUACACACCGCCCGUCAAGCCAUGGAAGCUGGGUGUACCUAAAGUCGAUAACCGUAAGGAGUCGCCUAGAGUAAAACUAGUAACUGGGGCU
rnacentral:rRNA from 1 species